GGCUUGUCAAGGUUAAUUGUGACGCCAGUAAUUUCUAUUUCAAUGCUCGGCACAUGUGAGGCUACAGGUGUGGCUGGUUCUGACAGCGCUCCAAGUGCAAAGUGCCCUCCACUCUCCUGCUGAGCCCAAGAUGCUGAUAAUACAGGAAUUUCUUUGAAAUAGAGAAUCAAGCAUUCAAGUUGAAUUCAAAGACAUACUAAGGCUUACUAGUCAAAAUGUAGUCUGCAGACCAGCUAUAUCAGCAUCAUGUUCGAAUUCAUCAGAAAUGCAUAAUCUCAGGAAGCACCACAGGCCCACUGAAGUGGGGUCUGUAUUCUAACAAGAUUUCAAUCGGUUAGUAUGUUCAUCAGGUUUUCAGGUGCACAGUACUGGGGAGAAAUAAAUAAUACUUGAUUUGUCCAGUAUGUUGUUCUUUGCCACCAAAAAUGAACAUGCACUUUGAUUUACUGAGGUUUUUAAGCAGCUACUUUGGGGGUUAACAUGCACAGAAAUUAUCAUACCAUUGGGAUAAAUCUUGCAAAUGUAAGUAUAUAACCAAUCCAUUGUUUUUUUUAUACCUAUUGUGCUAGAAUCUCUUUAAUAAUUAUUUAACACUUAGCACAUUAAUUUUUAGGUUCUUUAAUUUCCUCAUCUGUAAAACGGGGACAACACCUGUACUUCGAUUACAAGGCUGGUGUGAAGAUUAUGGGAAUUAUACAUGUAAAAUAUUUAGAAGAGUGCCAGACAUAUAGUAAACAUUCAAUAAUCAUUUAUUCUUAGUAUUCUUUUUGAUGUUAGGCACAGAAGGGUACAAUUGAGAGGAAAGCCGAGGAGCUAAGAUGGUGACUGAGCGUGAGUUGAAAGACACCAUAAAGAGGCCAUUUGGUUGGCCUCAAUUCCUCGUGACAACCCUCCUCUUGCAAUGAACAAAACAAGGAAAAAAGGGAAACUUAAGCCCAUAAUACUUGAAGAACUCUUGAAUUUGCAAGAUAUGAGCAACAACAUUUCCAUUUGCAUCAGAAUCAUUAAAUAUAAUUGUUUCUAAGUCCUUGUGAGACAAAGCACAGGAUAGCCAGUUUUCUAAAUAUGUAGUUUUAUACAAAUCGUUUUCUUUCUGCUCUUGGGUACAUAUCACUCUGUGAUUCUUCUCCCUGAAAUUUUUUUCUUUGAAGUUUUUUGUUUUAAUCCUGUUAUUUUGCCUGUUUCACGUUUUUGAAAGCUUAAAACUCACAUUUGGCAAAGAGGUUCCCAAUUCACCUGAAGGCAAAAGAAAAAGGGAUGUGUUCCCAAACUGCAUAAAAUCCACAGCAUGGAAUGAAUGCUGAGUGAAGGUAGGACACAGGCAUAGGAGGAAAUAUAAAGAAGAUACAUAGCUAACAUUUAUAGAAACUACUUAUGAAACCCCA
rnacentral:lncRNA from 1 species